AAAGAAUCACGCGCAAGCCCUCUACAGAUUAUUAGUGCAUACGAACAGUCUGGUCUCAUCCAUAUGAGAAAAAAGUCUAGGGAUGAACAUGACAAGGGCCGCAGGCUGCUGCAAACAGCUCUACAAAUGCAAUGUCAGGCUGCGUCAUCCCUUCCCACUGGUUUGACUGAUUUUACAACUCUCUGGCCUUCAUUCUAUGAACUUUGCAAUGCAGCUAAAACCAGGUCAUCACCAGACCGUCAAAUGAAAGAGUUGGCUCAACUCUUUGAAAUGGUUAAGGAUCAUGCCAAAUGCCUUAAUGUUUUGGAAGAGAUGUCUAAAUAUACUCCCCAGCAAGCUAUGGAUGCUGAGUUUCUGGAGAAACAGCUAAUCUACUACCUUAAACACGAACUUUAUGACGACGCUCUGCUAUUCCUCAGCAUGCUGGAAACCUCUAAAGAAAAAGAACUAGUUCGUCAGUGGUCAGAUCCAGACCUUCCAAGACGUGUUCGUGUUAUGGCUGCCAAGAAAAUGCUUUUGAACGUAAAUGAUACACUAUUUGGCUCCACUGAUGACAAAAUGAUAAAGAAAUGUUUUCUGCAAGCGAUUACAGCGAAAUCCUCCCAGUCGGAUGAAGAGACUCAAAGGAAGUACGUGGGCAAUGGUUGGGACGAAGAUCUGGAGCCUAAAUGGUGGCAUGUGAUGAUUCUUCAUGACCUGGAGGACGACGACAUGAAGGUUAAAGGUCUGGCGAUUAAGGAAAUUUUACAAAACGUGUGUGGGCUGCGCGUCACGUGCAUGUCAGACGACGAUGACUGCGAGAUCUGGACACUCCUCGAAAAUGCUGAAAAAUCACAGAUUCUCUUGGUACUCUGUGGCACCAAAGAUUUUUCCGACGAGUUUUGCGAUAAUUUCCUUCAGGUGCUUCUUGGAGUGUGUUCUUCAGGGGAUAGCAUACCCAAAUCAUUUCUUGCUUUGCAAACUGACAACACUCGGCAUCCUGAGAAGCUUUAUGCUGAUCGCUGGUUCCAGUGUCCGCCUUCUCUCUUUGGACCUCUUGACCUUUACACUCCAGAACUGAUCGACGACAUCUGCAACCUGUUUUGUUUCCUAGCUGAAGUAGCUAUCGAUUAGAUAAUCUUUAGCAAUACAUUCCUGCAGGUGCUUCCUGAAGUUUGUUCUUCUGGGAACGGCACGCGCAAAGCUCUUCUUGCUGUAAAAAUUGAGAACGCUCAUCGUCUGAAAAAUCGACAUCCUGAUCACUAGUUCCCGUUCUCGACAAUUUUGUGCAGACCUUUUGAAGUCUAUACUUUAGAAUGUAUUUUCUAUAUUUUCAACCUUUUCCGUUUUGUAUUCAAUAUCAGUGUGACCGUUUAUCACUUUUCGGAAACGUGGUGGAAAUAAUAUUGGAAUAUAAGAACUUAAAUAUAUAGUAGAUGAUACAGUUUUUAUAGAAGGAAGUUUAGAAAAGAUGUGAAAUAGCAUGCAAAAAAAUUGAUUGCAGUCACAUUUCCACUAUGAACUCAUCUGUUGCAUCACAAUGCUCAAGCGUAAGUUUCAUGGUUUACAAACAACAGAAUAAGUCUAUUAUUGAAAUUUUUAAAUAUCUCAACCACUGUUAUUUUUGUCAUCAAUGUAUCGUAUGUACCUAAAUGACGAAUUUUUGUUGUGACAAGUAUAUAUUCGCCCUGACUACCAGAUCUUGCUCCUGUACAUUGAUGCUAUUUUUGCGUCGAUGUAUGUUUGUUGAGGUGUUUUGGUCUAUAUAUGCAUGCUAACUUUUUUUGAGUCUGUAUUUCUGUAUUUUUCUUUUUUGCCAUUAAAGUGCAUUGUGACUACGCAUUGUGGAGAAAUGAUCUUGAGAAAACUACUUUUUUUUUUUUUUACUAUGAUCACUAUUAUCAUCUAUUACUUUGAUAGCCUUAUAAAUUCCAUGAUUUUUUUUAAUUUUUUGUGUACAGUCUGUGAGAUCAUCCCACUUGCCACUGAUAUCCCCAUUACAUAGUUUAUGCAUACAGAAUCAUUUUUCUUCUACAAAGAAUAAAAUUUCGGCCCAUCAGGACACAAAUACGUAUUACAAAAUGGAAUAUCAGGACAGUGAAAACAAAUCUGUGGACAAAACCUUAGUUUUAACUUCAGACUAGCUAACAUUGCACGGAGCGCACACACAGAAACCCCACAUACAUUCAUAGAGAACACACCUAAGCUGCUGGCGUAUUCAUUCAUUUUGGCCGCAGAACUUAUUCAAGUCCCACAAGCUUUGCAAACAAGUUCACAAUAAGACCGAGUUACAACAAAUAUUUCUUAGGUAAUCCGCACAUCGUGAAGACAAGGCGACUAGAGACGGUUCUUGAUUACUGGGCACACAUAUUGUCACACAUGACACAAACAAGCGUUCUGUAACGGUCAUUGCCUGUAAGUGAAUCUCAGGUACUACCAAGAUGAACAUUUUAACAGUCACAGCGCACAUCGGGAAAAGCAAGCGGCUAGCAGACUGCGGGUAGUACAUAUCCACACGUACCAAACUUGCCAAGAGCAGUUUUACAUUUUCCACAUAAAGCCCAAACAUACUAGAAAGUCAUAAGCUUUUCUAUAAAAACAUUCUCCGAGAAUAUAGAAUUUAACAGUAAGAACAUAUUUUUGUGAGGAUAGUAUGUGUGGAAAAUAUAGUACAAGGGACUUCUACGAAGGAGUCAAACAGCUGAAUGUUUGGCUAAUGGAUUACUGAACACAGCUAGCAGAGUCACGAUAUACGUAGAAGAUAUUAAUACCAGCAAGCUUAAUUUAUGCCUGACGACUGCUUCUGUUUACAUCGUGCUAACUCUACGAGACCUCGGUCUUGCUGUUGAGAAGACGCAACCCAUUCCAGCCAUUUCAACCCAUUUCAAUUGUCUUUCUGCACAAUGGAGAGGCGCUACGAAACAGACUCCUGCAAACAUCCCCAUUCCCGAAAGAGAAAGAGAUGAACAUCACAAACAUGAGAAUUGCACACAGAUAGAUAUCUGUGCUCAAGAUUAAAGCCGGUGACGGAAGUUUGGGGCUUUGUUAGCAAGGCGCAUCUGUGGACAAAGGUUCUCUCAACGAUUCAAGGGACGAAGCAAAGCAUUCGAGGAGGACAAAAAGGAAUUUUUGAGCAAGCUGAAGGAUUUUCCUCACCUUUUCCAACUAGACUAUUCUGAGUUGACACAUGCAAGAAUCAAAAGCAUUCAUGAUCGUUUGCGCAGAGAGCAAAAUGAUCCCUUUAAAAGUACAGCAGGAGACAUUCGGGAUCUGAACUUCACUGCCUUUCUACUCUUUCUGAUAAAUGAUAUCGAUGACGCCAUACAACUGACCGAAACAGUUUUAAAAACGACAGAGGGAGGCAACCUUGUUGCUCUGGGUAACAUGGCUGUCAUGUUGUGGCUGAAACGAAACAGGGCUGACGGCGAGAAAUACGCCGAAAGAUUGCAAAAUCUCAAGGAAACAUGUGAAAAGUCUGAGUUUGAGGCAAACGUUGCAAGGGGUAAAGCGGAAAUAGCUUACUGCUACUCAAGAAUGGGGAUGGCCUUUGCUGCGCGAGCAGUAGAUGUGUUUGAGGAGGUUGUCCAUCAAAUCCCUGAAGAGUACUCCUGGAAGUUUGGCCUCGCGUUAGUUCUUAGACGUUUCACGCACUUAAAUUACAGGGUUUACUACCAGGUGACUGCCAAAACAUCGCGAGAACAGAACAUGAAAGCUUUCGAGUUGCUGCAAGAAAUCACUAACUGUGCUUCUGUGCCAGAUCUGAAAGCUCAUGCUUGGGCUGAGCUGGGCAUGCUGCUGGGACAACCGUGGAAUGCAGAACUUAAGGACGUCUCUAGAAAGGCCCAAGACGUUGGCUUGACAGCUCAAUACUGCUUCGAAGAAGCCAUCCGAUGUGCGCCCAAAAAUGUCGACGUGUUGAUAAAAAGUGGAAAGUUCUUUACAACAGUUGGUGAUUUAAGACGUUCUCAAGCGCUGCUAGAGGAAGGGACCAAGAUCAGAGAAACAUCAACUGGCCACUAUUACCUGGGUAAUACUUUUAGAAAGCUUGCUACGAACACAGGAGGAGAGAGGACACAGCUCGAAAGCCGAAGAAAAACGCAAGGACAAAGAUGGAGCCCGAAAGUUCAGCUAGAGGAUCAAGAAAAGACAAGCAAGUCCCAGUUAACACUAGCAAACACAAUCGACCUAGAUUUGAAAAAAGACACGAAAAAAACAAACCGUGUGAACAGAAGCAUGGAUAUAUUAAUAAGAAGACUAAUUUUCAAUACAGUCUGAGUAGCUGGAGUGAUCCAGUUUGUCAGGAAACCUCGUAUUCGUUCUUAAUCCCCGGAGAAGAUCAAUCAGGGUGCACGUGGAUAUCCCGAACUUCCUCUUGAAAACGUUAUUUCACGCAUGUCAAUAUCAGACGAAAGACAAGAACAUGCUGUUUCGUCCUUGCCAUUUUCUGUUGUUGGAUCGAGUGAAGCCAGGGCGAUUAAAGCUAUAGUUAAGUCUCCAUGCAGAUUAAGGUCUUUGCGAUGGGACCAGGAAUAUGUCAAGGAUGCAGAAUGUCAUUUUCUGAAAGCUAUAGAGAUCUCUCACGGGGAAAACACGACCGCUAGAUUUGACCUAGGGCUGAUGUAUUUCGCUCUUGGUGAAUGCCAACUGGCUCUUGAGCAAUUUUCUUCAAUCACUAGUCAGGAUGAGUGCUGUCUAAGUCCUCUGCAAUUCAUCAAUGCGUACGAACAGUCAGGGUUAGUUUACUUGAUGCUAAGUUCCAACGCCAAGGACGAGCCAGAAAAGGAAAAACACUUAUCUGUGGCACGAACUAUGCUUCACAGAGCUCUGGAGAUGCAGUGCGAUCUC